ACGAAACGACAGGGGAGCGCUGCCACCACGGUGAGCGCUGAGAGUGCGGGAAGCCGCAGACCCUCGAACCUGCUCCGGUUAGCACCGGCGAAGGAAGUCGGGAUCUCUCUCCG
rnacentral:ncRNA from 2 species